UUAAAAGCAGUGAAGGGAAGAGUAAGUUUAGUUUCUAUCUAAAAGAGAGCUAGAUUAGGUGAAAGCUAGCGUUAGAAGUUAUUCUGAAGAUGGCCCCUGAGCUAUAUAGCUGAAAGCUUUAGUAGGCUGUGUCGGAUUUGUAUCCGUUAAUAUACAAGGUUAAAAUAUAACCUACCAAGAUCUAAACUGUGAAGUUUAGAUAAAUUAGAGUGGUAACACGAGAAAUAUAAAACCUUCGUCUCUAAA
rnacentral:ncRNA from 1 species